UGGGAUGUCGUCUAAAGGUAGGACAACGGAUUCUGGUUCCGUUUGUAGGGGUUCGAAUCCUCUCAUCCCAGCCA
rnacentral:tRNA from 1 species